UACGGAGGGAGCUAGCGUUAUUCGGAAUUACUGGGCGUAAAGCGCACGUAGGCGGCUUUGUAAGUUAGAGGUGAAAGCCUGGAGCUCAACUCCAGAAUUGCCUUUAAGACUGCAUCGCUUGAAUCCAGGAGAGGUGAGUGGAAUUCCGAGUGUAGAGGUGAAAUUCGUAGAUAUUCGGAAGAACACCAGUGGCGAAGGCG
rnacentral:rRNA from 1 species